AUGAGUCCAUAUAACCUUCUUUUGAAAAAUUGAAAAUCGUCACGAAUGCAAAGCUUCCUUAUGAGGAAGCAAAAGGGAACAAAGUCCAAAAAAGGGGAAUGGUUGAAUUGGUCAGGAAAAUAGAGAGAGAAGGAAAAGCGGUCUGGGUGUUUUCCAACGAUUAAGGCCAGGCAGGAGGAACAAAGCGAUCAGACACCGCAUAACUUGAAGGCAAAAAAGAGGUAGACAUAACACCUAAAAAAUGUCAUAUGAGGAGAAAACUGACAUCCUUCCGAAGAUUGAAGAAUCAAUGGAUAACACUAGCAUCAAUUCUUUAAACGACGAUUGUCUCAUAUUAAUUUUCCAGCGUCUUCCAAUCAUCGAUAAAAUUAAAAUUGAAAGAGUUUGUAAACGUUCGCAAAGAUUAAGUAAAAAAUCUAGGAAUUCUAUUAAAAAGCUCAAUCUUCAAUCCUUAUCAUGGGGUUGGUUAGUUGAUAAAUACCAAAAUAAAAUAUUCAUUUGCAAUAAAAUAAUGCAUGAUGCAAUUCGUUGUGGUAAUUAUCUAACGGAAGACAUUUUAAUCUAACGACAUAUCUACUGCCAGGCAAAGUUUCUCGACAUCAUUUUCAGUACGUACUAACUUAACGUCUUGCCUUUUACUACUGAAUUGUGAAAACAUUGUUAAACUAGGCUUUGAGCCGUGGCUUAAUGAAUUUGAAGAACCGAACUUAAUGGAACUUUUUAAUCGAAUGAAAAAUCUGAAAGUUCUAAGACUUGGAGCAUUUGGCAGACCAUUACGUAUUAGCGGAGAGUGUCUCCUUUAUUUGCCCAGUGAUGUUAUAGAGGAAAUUAUUUUUGUUAAUUGUCGACCUAUUCAAUCUAAUUUGUUUUAUAAGGCUUUCGAUGAAUUUACAAAUUUACACACUCUUGCCUUAUUCGAAUGUCAUUUCAGUAUUAAAGUGUCGGAAUAUGAUGUAAAAAUGUUAUCGAAUCUAAAAAAACUUAAACGUCUACACUACACAGUUAAACAGGGGGUAUCACUUUAACUCCAAUUAUAGGUGUUAAAAUGAGGAGCAACAAAAAUAACACCAGAAAAAUGAAAACACUCGACAAUCAUCAUUUUCACACUACAUUUCUAGUCAUUUUAACAAUUUUAAAGAGUAAACCUAUCUUCAAAGAAUAAAAAAAAACAAUGAAAUUAUGUAUAAAACAAAAAUAUAACCAAAUUAGUUGACAAGCCGAGAACGCAAAAAAAAAUUAAAAUAGAAAAAUAGACAGAAUAUUGCAAAAGGAGAAAGACAGCAAAUAACAAAAAAAUAAAGGUAACCAAAUACAAUAUUAAUUAGUAAAUUCAAAUUAAAAAUAUAAUAGUACAUUUUAAUAAAAAAAAAUUUAAUUUUUGAAAGUAUGGGAAAAGUAUGGCAAAGUAUGGGUGACGAAAAAUAUUAACCUUAUUUAAAUUUUCCAGUUUUGUAAAAAAAUCUUUUCUUUUUGCAAACUGUGGGAACAGCAUAUAAAAGUAUAAGUGAUGAAAAAAUCAAUUUUAAGUAACUUUUUCAGUUUUAAAAAAAAAUCAUUUUGCGAAUUGUGUAGAAAGAUUGUCAAAAUAUAGGCGAUGAGUUAAACUAAAUUUUA